GAAGAAAUGGCUGACGCAUGUCUGUCUGGUUCCACAGCCUGCACUCCAGCUGUGCCCUGAAAGAUGAGACAAACUUACCUUGAACUUGUCUGCUGUGUGUCCUCUCUGAUGCCAGCCAGCCAUGAUAAUUCCCAUUUUUCCUGCUCUUAUCCUGGCAUCUCCCCAGGGUCCUUCGUCCUUCUGUGCCACCAUAAAAGUGAAUCUCAGAAUUGGCAGAGUUUAGACUUCAGAAAUCUCCCAGGGCCUGUCUAACAGACUCCCAUCCAGCUGUGUUCGCACAUCUGCAAAAGGAAGCCUGCCACUUUUGUGAAUGACUACCUACUUUGUUGGUAAACAACUGAAAUGUAUGGGAUGUUGGGGGGCCUUUCAAAACAAAUGUACUUUUCAAAUCAUUAAUUCAAGCCCAUAAUUUCAAAAAUCAAGUCCAGUUGCUAGAGAAAGGAGAUAUCAUGGAGUAGGUCUCCUCAGUGCAGAAUUCCAGUCCCACAUUCUGUGUCCCAGAUGCAACCUCUCUGAACAGUUUUUGGUUCUCUGUUAUAAAAGACAGGCUGCGCACGCACAAGCAGAUCCAGGUGUGUGCCCCAACUCUGUUUAUUCCAACAAGGGAGCACCCACAUGUGUUCUGCAUCUGGCUUCUUAAUACAUCUUAGAGAUGGUUCCAUACCAGGACUGAAGCGUUAUAAAUAAAAAGUACCAAUCUUGUUGAAGAUUCAUAGAAUGUUUACUACAUACCAGAUACUCUUCUGAAUUCUUCACAUUAUUUAAAUUGCUGAAAUCUUUACAAUUGACCAUGAGAUAGAUCUAGUCAUUAUCCCCAAGGAACAGAGGUUAGGUAAAUGGCCAAAUUAACCCAGCUGAAAUGGCAGGAAAUCCAGGCAUUCUGGCACGAGAGCUGGUACUUGCAGCCAGUAUAUGCUACAAUCCCUCCAUGCUGCGAGAUUCCGCAUUGCCCAGAAUUGUGGCUCUGGCCAGCCCUUGCUUUACAGAAAGCAAAAAGUGAAUAUUUUGCUUUUCCAGGCAGGCAAGGAAAAGGGGAUUGGGACUGGAUCUUCCAAUAACGUGUGCCACUGGCGGAAAGGCUAGUGUCCCCUCUGAGAAGAUGUGUCCUUGCAAUGUGCCCUGUUGCCUUGUAGCUACAGCUGUGGUCUGAUGAUUAUAAAUAGAAGCAGCUUUCCUGGAAGAAGGUAUUUCUUGCAUGAGUUAAGUGGCAUCUUUAAGAUUUGUACGUGUUAGACUCUGUAAAGGAAUGUGCAAAUUAGAUUAGAAAAAAUCCAGUUAGAAUGCUUUGUUGCAUGUGAUAGAAUCCAGCUUGAAAAAACCAGUAUGGCCUUCAACAGAUGAAUGGAUAAAGAAAAUGUGCAUAUAUACACAAUGGAAUAUCACUCAGCCAUAAAGAAGAAUGAAAUUAUGGCACUUGCUGCUAAAUGGAUGGAACUGGAGACUGUCAUGCUAAGUGAAAUAAGCCAACCCCCGAAACCAAAGUUUGAAUGUUCUCUCUGAUAUGUGGAUGCUGACACAAAAUAAGGGUGUGUGUAUUUUGGGGGGGGGAGAAUAAAAGUUCAUUGGAUUAAACAAAGGGGAAUGAAGAGAAAGGAGGGGGACUGGGAAUAAGAAAGUAGAAUGAACUGGACAUCACUUUCCUAUGUUCAUAUGUGAAUGCACAACCAGUGUGACUCACACCAUGUUUAAACACAAGAAUGGGAUCCCAGUUAGACUCCACGUAUGUAUAAUAUGUCAAAAUACACUCUACUGUCAUGCAUAUCCAAAAAGAACAAAAAAUAAAUAAAGCCAGUGUGGGCAGAAAGGAGGGGCGGGUUAUUGGCUCCCAAAACAAAUCAUGGAAAGACAAGCAUGAGCAGUAAUGUAAUGGGAACCUUGGGCAAGUUAUUCCAUCUCCCUGUGCCCUGGAAUCCUAAACUGCAGACAGGGAACAACAGUAGCCCCUCAGAAAGCUGGAGUGGGUACAGUUAAAUGAGCUGUAUGAAGGGACAGUUCCUGGCACUUGGCACUCCAGAAGUAGUAACUUUGCAGGGACAACUCUUUGCAAAGAUGUGAACUCCAUUGAGCUGGCUGGCUUUCCUCUCUCUUUUUCAUUUGCACAUUAGUAAAGGGACAUAUUCGGGUACUGUAACAAAGAAACCACCAAAAUGUAGUUCCUCCAGCAAGAUAGAAGUUUCUCUCUCAUCUCACAGUGCGUAGAUAGGCAGAUGGGCCAAGGCAGGUGAGUGAUGGGCUCCAUGAUGUCAUCAGGCACCCCAGCUCCUACUGUAUUGUCACAUUGCUGAGAGCCACAGCCGAUUGGGAAUGACGCAUAGCAUUUGUGCCAGAAGGGAGUGGUUGAGAGGUGACGUCAGCGAGCCAUUGAGAUGAUGAUGGUUAUGUUAAGCUGUGUGUUCAGUUGUGUAUUAGACCUCUGCUGUCCGCCUCAGCCGCUACUUUGGAGUUCUCAAGAGCUACUUUGGAGGGCUGGGGAUGUGGCUCAAGUGGUAUCGCGCCCGCCUAGCAUGCGUGCCGCCCGGGUUCGAUCCUCAGCACCACAUACAAACAAAGAUGUUGUGUCCGCUGAAAAC
rnacentral:lncRNA from 1 species